rnacentral:rRNA from 1 species
ACCGGCGGCUCGAGUGGUGGCCACUAUUACUGGGCUUAAAGCGUUCGUAGCUGGCUUGUUAAGUCUCUGGGGAAAUCUUCCGGCUCAACCGGAAGGCGUCUCAGGGAUACUGGCAGGCUAGGGACCGGAAGAGGUGAGAGGUACUCCAGGGGGAGGGGUGAAAGCGGGUGAUCCUUGGGGUGCGACAUGUGGCGAAGGGGACCCACCAGGACGGCUCCCACAGUGAGGAACUAAAUCUGGGGGAGCAAACCG